UAGCUUGAUCCUGGCUCAGAAUCAACGCUGGCGGCGUGCCUCAGACAUGCAAGUCGAACGAUUAAACUUUCCUUCGGGAAAGAUAUAAAGUGGCGCACGGGUGAGUAACACGUAAGUAAUCUACCUUCGAGUGGGGAAUAACCCGGGGAAACCCGAGCUAAUACCGCAUAAUGCAGCGGCAUCGCAAGAUGACAGUUGUUAAAGGAUUUAUUCGCUUGAAGAGGAGCUUGCGGCAGAUUAGCUUGUUGGUAAGGUAACGGCUUACCAAGGCUACGAUCUGUAACCGGUCUAAGAGGACGGUCGGUCACACUGACACUGAAUAACGGGUCAGACUCCUACGGGAGGCAGCAGUCGGGAAUUUUGGGCAAUGGGCGAAAGCCUGACCCAGCAACGCCGCGUGAAGGAUGAAGUAUUUCGGUAUGUAAACUUCGAAAGAAUAGGAAGAAUAAGUGACGGUUCUAUCUAUAAGGUCCGGCUAACUACGUGCCAGCAGCCGCGGUAAUACGUAGGGACCAAGCGUUGUUCGGAUUUACUGGGCGUAAAGGGCGCGUAGGCGGCUUGUCAAGUCACUUGUGAAAUCUCCGGGCUUAACCCGGAACGGCCAAGUGAAACUGACAUGCUAGAGUGCAGAAGGGGCAAUCGGAAUUCUUGGUGUAGCGGUGAAAUGCGU
rnacentral:rRNA from 1 species